UUCCUACAUUUGCAAGGAUUACUAAAAUAAGUCAUGUAAUAAAAUUAUGUGAGUAAGUAUUAUUGUCUAGAGUAGUAUUUACUACAUCUAAAGCACAGUAUGAAGUCAUGGGGGAGGAAACAAUUUUGUUAAAUGAUUUUCUAGAUUGCAAUACUAUGUAUAUAAUAAGACCUUAUUACAUAAGUAGAAAAAAAGCCCAUUUUUUCAAAGUGGGCUUUUUUUCUUAAUCAAGUUAUAAACU
rnacentral:sRNA from 1 species